GUUUGGCCAGAAAAACUCUGAAUACAUUCACUCUUAAAGUCUCCCCUGCAGCUGCAGCAGCACCAGCACCACCACCUCUCUUUUUGCUUUAAUUCGCACCUUUGCCACCAUCCAGCACCAGGCAUGAGUGGGACGAUGUGGAGCUGGUGUGUCGGCGGUGGCAGUGGCUGUCUGCUCAGGACUUCAGGAAGCUGAGCGUGGGGAGACAAAGCCUGAGUCACAUUGGAAAACAUAAAAACAAACAAACAAAUCUUAUGAAGAUAUUCCUUUGUCCUUCAAGACUCAUAAAUAAUAGAUGACAAGCAAUUCCACAGCAUGGAACAACGAUAAAUGAUUCCAGAACAUGUCUGGGCAAUAGUAUUCUUGACAUCAUAUAAAUCUCAACUUUGAAAUAGGCAUGACAAGAGGUAUAGGAGAGAGAUGGAAUUAACAGAUUUAAAGUAUAAAACAAUCCAGAGACAACGGGAAGUUUACCUGUUUCACAAAGUUUCAAAUAAUUAAGGUGCAGGUACACAAAGUUUGGACAAGGUUCAUUUUUAAUGCAAGAAGAAUGAUGCCAUAGUGAUGUUCCUAGUUUGUGCCACAACGAGAGGGGUACAUCUGCAAUUCAUCAGCAAGAGGAAAUAAAGACAAAGGAGGAAAUUAUUUUGCUCUACAUGGCACUUGGAGGGCCUCAGUUGGUAUCCAGUUUUGAGCACCACAUUUUAAAUGAAAGGAGCUAGAAAGAAUAUAGCAAUGAGCAUGAAGAAUGAUAAGAGGUUUUGAGACUAAGGUCUUUUAUGAAAGAUUGAAAUAAUUUAUUUAGUUUCCCCUAGAAAAGAGAAAACCGAGUGCAGAUCGGUUUUCCAAUAUGGAAAAGAUUAUAAGAAAUAGAUGAUGAUGAUCAGAGAUAGGAUUAUGGAUUUACUUUGAAAUGAGAGAUUUUAGUUAGAUAGGAGGAUAAUCUUUCUAGCAGUCUACCUGGAAGUCUCUUGAAUCCCUUGUCAUUGGAGACUUUUAAGAACAGGUCAGGAUGAACAUAUAGCAAGGAGUGUCUAGGUAAACUUAAUCAUGCCUUAGGGAUAUUGGGGAUGGACAAGAUGACCCCUUGAGUUUCUUUCCAACCUUACAUUAUUAUGAGAAAAGUUCAUCUAUUUUCUCUCUUCUCUCUUUAGCCAAGUUAAAAUAACAAAACAAAGCAACCAAGAUGAGUUGCUAUAAAGAAAAGAAAAUAGUAGACAGAGGAACAGGCUGCUCCUCAAAAUAUGAUUCCUGAAUCUGAUUGUUCACCAUCAAUUUUCCUUUGACUAGGUACAAUUUAAUAAAUCCAAGCAAUGCAAAACAGCAGAAAGAGAAGCAUUUGUUAUUGACCAUAUUGAAGUGAGGAAGACAAAAGGGGAUUAAUGCCCAACAGAAGGCAGCAGGAGUUGACACUUGGCACUUUACAGUAUUAUCUUAAGGUUAGAGUACCUCUUGGCCUGCCCCCUCAAAGGAUGAACAUGUAAAAAUGGCUGGUGUUGGUCCAU